rnacentral:rRNA from 1 species
GAUAAUCUGCCCUAAGAUUGAGGAUACCCACGGAAAACUGUGGCUAAAACUUAAUAUAAUGGCUGGAACGGCAUUUAAACGUAAGGUCUUAGGAUGAGUCGGCGGCGGAUUAGGCAGUUGCGGUGUAACGGACCACAAACCAAAGAUCCGUAGGGGCCCUGAGAGGGGUAGCCCCGAGAGGGAACUGAAAUAUGGUCCCAGCUCCACGGAGUGCAGCAGGCGCGGAACCUCCACAAUGCGGAAACGUGAUGGGGGGAUCCUGAGUGCUACAUAUGUAAGCUUUUGCAGAGUUUACAUCUGGAGAAUAAGUGGUGGGAAAGACCGGUGCCAGCAGCCGCGGUAACCCCGGCGCCACGAGUGGCAAUCUUAUAUUGGGCCUAAAGCAUUCGUAGCAGGUUUGAAAAUCCUUGUGAAAUUGUGAACUCAAUCACAGCAUCGGGGACACUUCAGACUAGAGACUGGGAGGAGUGGGGGUAUGCCUGGGGAGCGGUUAAAUGUGAUAAUCCAGGUAGACCACCUGUGGCGAAGGCGCCCACUAGAACAGUCUGACUGUGAGGGAUGAAAGCUAGGGGAGCGAUCCGGAUUAGAUACCCGAGUAGUCCUAGCUGUAAACACUGUGGCUAGGUGUCCAUUCUCGAGAUAUGGGUGUCGAAAGAAGUUGAUAAGCCACCGCCUGGGAAGUACGGUCGCAAG